CGUAAAUGUCUCUGCUGCGGAGAGUAGCUGUGAAGUCCAUACAACAAUAGGAUUAAAUUCUACCUAGAAGUCUGUGCUGUGAGCCAGAACAUGACGAAAGAAAAGAAAUUAACAAGCUUCAUAAGUCUGUGAAAGACGUUAGAGCAGCAAGCUGAGACUUUCUCCUGGAUUCCAACAAAAGGACGAGGAGAGCAGUGAGGAGGCAAUGAUUGGCUCACAAGGGGACUCAGUGUUAUGUAGGGUGUGUCCCUGUAACAGCAAACCAUCUUCGAGCAAAACCAAACCGCGGAAAGAGUUUCUUUGAAGCCAAAUAGAAACCCAGUGGGGAUGAAGGAUGUUUUAAGUAAGAUGAGAGUCCUCGGGCGUGCAACAGCGUCACUGUUGUGACAGAUGGUACUUUCCAAAGAAGAUGACACCGGCUCUGACAGAGUGACAAUGACAGACCUCUACAGAGAGGUGGAGGAGUUUCUAUUCUGUGCCCUUGAUUCUGAGUGGGCCCGUGAUUACGACAGAACUGAACCCCAUGACUUCCGAGGCAAUGUUAAGAAGGGGUGUUAACACCCCAGCAGCAACGAGCCGGCGUGGCCCCUAGAUCUUGGUUUCUAAUACCAUUCUCCAAAAAAAGGAACACGGCUCCUUGGAGAAAUGGCUGAUGCUGGCACCGGGGCAGGGAAUGCACGCAACGAGCCUGGAACAUCUUCUAGUGCGAAAAGGGCACAGACCCCGGCUGCCUUGUGCUGACACAAGUCCAGCUCCCUGGUGCCAUCCUGUUGAAGAGACCACUCAGACAGACCACACGGAUAGACAGAGAUGCCCAGCGAGCCACAGCCCUUGCUGCCCGGCUGAGUCCUCCCAGUUGUCAGUCUCCCCGGCCCAGGGGCCAGAUGUGUGCGAGGGGGCCUUUCAGAUGUCCCAGCUCCUGGCCUUCUCGCAGGUUCAGUGGACACCGAGUGGAACAUAGACAAGCCAGCCCCACUGAGCUGUGCUCAAAAAUUGCAGAGUCAUGCACAAAAUAAGCGUUUUAUGAAGUCCCUAAACACCGUGAUGGCUCGUCACGCGGCAUCACUUAAAUGGAACAACCGGUCCGCGACUUCGACUUUGGUUAUUGAUCGAUUUCCUCUCCACAUCUGUCUUUAGCUCCGCUAGGGGCUGGGCAGUGGACACAGAGAUCCACAAGUCCCUGCUCUUGAAGAACUCUCGGUUGAGUGGAAGAAGCUAAGCCCCACGAGAGUAAAAACGAAUGACAACCACACUGGAUCGUAGCGAACGGGUGAAGGCAGGACUUCAGAGGCGCAGAGAACAGGAUGCAUGACUCUGAGGGAUCCCAGAGGGGAGAGACACGGGGAGAGAGAACAGCGUUUAUUGAGCACCUAAUAUGCUUCACUGUUCUAAGUGGGGUACAAUAUGUAUAUGAAUUCAUCCUCCCAGUUGACACCAUGAUGUCAUUAUAACCACGUUAGAGAGGAGGAAACUGAGGCACAGAGAUAUGAAGGGAUUCGUCAGGGCCCGCCAAGUGGCAGAGAGAGAUGUGAAGGUCCUCUUGGUUUUCCUAUCUAUGAUACGAAGGUAUUGGAUAAGACGCGCACGAAGGAUCUUUGUGCCUCCAAGGCUUAGGUUAUGUGUGGGUUUUGCCUGCCCGGCGUCUGU